UACGUAGGGGGCAAGCGUUAUCCGGAUUUACUGGGUGUAAAGGGGGCGCAGACGGCGAUGCAAGCCAGGAGUGAAAGCCCGGGGCCCAACCCCGGGACUGCUCUUGGAACUGCGUGGCUGGAGUGCAGGAGGGGCAGGCGGAGUUCCUGGUGUAGCGGUGAAAUGCGUAGAUAUCAGGAGGAACCCCGGUGGCGAAGGCGGCCUGCUGGACUGCAACUGACGUUGAGGCCCGAAAGCGUGGGGAGCAAACAGG
rnacentral:rRNA from 1 species